AAUUCUCAAACCUCAAUCAGUUUUCGAACUGGUCUGAGGCUUUGGACUAUGGAGGCUUUUGCUGGACUCUCAGAGAUCAGCUCCUCUCAAAUGCAUUAGCGGUUACUGAUCCCAUUCAUUGGUGUGAUAAUUAUCUAUGCCAUGGGUGGUUUCUCGUGUAUCAGCUUCUAACCGUCCUUUCAGGACAAUCUAUUGACU
rnacentral:misc_RNA from 1 species